ACGGGAGGCGGCAGUGAGGAAUAUUGGUCAAUGGGCGGAAGCCUGAACCAGCCAAGUCGCGUGAAGGAUGAAGGUAUUAUGUAUUGUAAACUUCUUUAGACGUAGAGAAAUAAGUGCCUCGUGAGGCAUGAUGCUAGUAUACGUAGACUAAGGAUCGGCUAACUCCGUGCCAGCAGCCGCGGUAAUACGGAGGAUCCGAGCGUUAUCCGGAUUUAUUGGGUUUAAAGGGUGCGCAGGCGGCGUAUUAAGUCAGCGGUUAAAUAGUGAGGCUCAACCUUAUCCCGCCGUUGAUACUGGUAUGCUUGAUUGCGGUUGAGGUUGGCGGAAUUCGCCGUGUAGCGGUGAAAUGCAUAGAUAUGGCGAAGAACUCCGAUUGCAUAGGCAGCUGACCAAGCCGAUAAUGACGCUCAUGCACGAAAGUGCGGGGAUCGAACAGGAUUAGAUACCCUGGUA
rnacentral:rRNA from 1 species